UGGUAUUGACAGAGAAAUAGCCUUCUGUACCAAAAAAUCAACAUCCCGCCAACAUUUCUUCCAGUUUAAAAAAUACUAUUCUAAAGUUGCAGCUGGUAUAUAGUAAGAAUCUAGUAGAUAAUAAAAUAAAACCAUGAACCAUGUGUAGCCAUAUGCUUAUAAAAUGUUAUGGAUUUCAGUUUUCUGACAUAACAUCGUGUAUUUGGUUUUGUUUGUUUGUUUGUUUUGUUUUCUUGGGGGGGGUUCUGUUGCUGUUUUUCAGAUCUCUGAAAUAGCACUGGUUUCAAAUUUUAUAUCUUACAAAUUACAAUGUUAGUCUCAAAAAUAGUUUUUAACAUGUAAACUAUUUUUAUUUUCUGCAAAUAAUUUAAAUUACUUCAGUACCCCACAUUAACAUUUCUAAGCUGCUAAUUCGACAAAGUUAGAUGUCUGAAAAGUGUAGCAUACAACUCAAUAAUGCUGCAGCAUUAGAGAUGUCCACGUUGUUCAUGAAGCACCAUGACCAACAGCUUCUUACAGAAGGAAGACUUCAUUUGGGCUUCUGGUCCAGAAGGAUGAGAUUCCAACAUGGCAGGAGGAAUGGCAACAAAUGGUGGGAAUGACAGUAGGAACAAGAAGCUGACAGAUGAUACCUUCAGCUGUAAACACAGAGCAAAGCACAAACAGGAAGCAGUGUGAUCAUAUGAUCUCUCAAGACCACUUCCAAUGACAAACGUCUUCCAGCAAGUCCACAGUUUUUAACCCUCCUAACUGAGGACUACCUACUAGAGAACACGUGUUUAAGUGUUUAUAUCUAAGGAAGAUAUUUCUCUUUCAAUUCACCACAGAUACUAUGGCCAUUUUAAUAUUUUUGUCCUCUACACACAAGUCACAUUUAAUUGCCAUUUCAAAUAUCAUUGAGACACAAAUACUUUAGUAGCCUGAGAUUUCACUGGUACUAAUUGUGUUGGUAUUGAUUCUCCUAAAGCAGAUCUAUCUAUCUAUCUAUCUAUCUAUCUAUCUAUCUAUCUAUCUAUCUAUCUAUCUAUCUAUCUCUUACAUGUUACAGUAGUAAUUUAGUAGUUUAUCACAAAUUCAGGUGAAACCUAUUGUUCUUUGUACAUACCAAAUUUCUACCCUUUUUUUCUGCAUUAUGCUAGUAGGGUAAAGUUGCUUCUUUUGAAUGCCUAGUUUAGUUCCCCAUAGUCUAAAUGGUUCAAUGACAAAGCUUAACAUUGAUAGUAAUGAUAGUAUCUUAGAAUGUCAGACACCUCUUAUUUCCCAGAAGCUUUUUUCUGAUGCUCUUAUUUUCUGUCAGCCAGCAUGUAAGAUACCUUUACGUUGUGGGCAGAUGUAACUAGCCACCAGAGAGGAACCUAGCUGUAAUACUGUGUAUUUAUAAAAGAUAGCUCUGUGUUAGGAGAGUCAAUAACAACACAGAUAAUACAAGUGAAGCUUCCAGGCUAUUGGAGUAUUUAUGCUGCAAUGAUAUUUUGAAAUAAUUAUAGACAUGGAAAAUGGCAGAAGUCAGUUAGUUCCUUACAGUAUGUAGGUACAGAAGAUCAAAGUCAGACCACCAAGUUUAGUGGCAAGUAUUGUAUGUCUGCACAUGUUCUGCUGCAUGAACAUGCACAUGAGCACAUGUUCAAACAUAUAUACAAAUAAAUACCAUAAAAUAUUAAAGUAAUAUUUUAAAAUUCUCAUAGAUCCUUUGCCCUACUUCUAACUUAAUAAUAUAUGUAAAUAUAGUAGACAAAGCCAAGACUAUUUCACUGAUACAGUACUGCUAAUUAAGUAACUGCUUUAUUUGAAGUUCCACAAUUUUAAAUUCCAGGAUUCAUCCCCAGAAUAUCACCAUUUAUGCUUUCUAUGACUUUUUACUCCUCAUCACUAAAUGACUAUUCCUGAGUCUUUCUGUGCCUGUUUAAAACCUUUGAAUAUUUGGAAACUGUUGUUUAAUUAUUUUGUAGAAUAUCAUUAGCUGCCUGACAUUUCUCAUGCUCAGGUUGUAGUAAAGAAUUAUGAGGAUAUGACAAAAGAAUAAUGUGUCCCAUCCAGUAAAAUAACACAGCACGAAGCAAUGUCAUCACUGUCAAUUGUGAGCUUGACAAUUAGGUUAAGAAGGUUGGAUGAUUUCACCACUGCAACCAUACCCUCCACUCUGAUGCCAACUUCAUACCAAGGCAUAUGUUGUCCUUCUUAAUUUGUUAAAUGUUGUUCAAACACUGGACUCAUUUAUACCCAUUUUCCAUACCAAAAGUUAUAAUAUUGCCAUCUAGCUGUUAGCCUGUUCUUCUAUUUGAUAAGAACUAGUAUACAGACAUUCUUGCAUAAAAAAUCAUUUUAUAAGUAGAAAUGAUCACCCAUGGCAUUUUAAAUAAGAUCAUUAAUAGAAUAGUUAAAAAGUAAAUUGGCAGUUUGCUCAUUUCAUCCCCAGAGCUACAGAGACAUGUUAUGUAAGUGGUAGUCUAGCCCUGACACCUAGCUUUCUCAGAACCUGUAUCAUUUGCCAAUUUAGCCUAAGUCUUCUGAAAACACACACACACACACACACAUACACACACACACACACACACACACACACACGUAUUUAUAACUUACUGCCCAUUUGUGGUUAACUAAAUUAACUAGAUAGAUAACCACCCACUGAUAAGAGCAGUACAUAGUUCUUUCAAAACUGUCACAUGUAUAAUUUCUUCUGUUGCUAUGAGGUUGAAACAUGCUAGCCCUCAGCAUGCCAAUCAUUUUGAAUCUGAAUGCUGUAAUUCCAUCUCAUUGGUUGGUCUCUGUAACUAAUGAGGAAGUCUUCCCUCCCAAUGCAAAGAAAGGCAGCCUUUACAGGGACUUUUAUAGGAUCCUUGCUCUCUCUGUCUCUUUGAAUGUCACAGAUGUCUGCCCUGAUGUAACACACAGAAGUGAAAUUGGCCAUUUACAGGGCCAGAAGGAAGUAGCAGGAGUUAUGUUGAAGAAAUAGGUGGCUUCCAUUUACUUCUGAUCUCCUGGCCUCUUUGACAAAUAGAAGUCAUAAUAUACCUCAAGUUACUGUGAUUGUUAGGUAAUCUGUAUAACCCUUUGGGUAGCAACUGCUACAUGAUAUUUACUCAAGAAAGGAAAACACAGUUGGUGAUUUUUAUUUCUCCCUCUAAUUCCUAUACAAAAUUCAGAUUUGGGUGUUUAAAAAAAAAAGAUAAGGAACUGGAGGCAGCAGCUUAUUUAAAUAAUUCUUUUUUUUAUUUCUAAAAAGCCCCUCAAAAACCAUUUUGAACUAAAUAAAAUUCUAUUAAAAGUUGUUCAGAUGAUAAGGCAGUGUGGCAACAUCUGUAUACAGUCAUUGAUUAGGGGACAAUAAAACAGAAGUUUGUUUUAUGAAAAAUUAGUUUGCUGAAGAAAGUGUUCAAGAAAAUAAGCUGGAAUAUGAAUUAGAUGUAAACUCAAUGAGAGCAGAAACUGGUCAAAUUCAUUAAAGUCUCCAGUGCCCAAAGAGAUAUAUAGGUCUGACAUUUUCUCAUAUGCAUACAAUGUAUUUAUAUCAUAUUCACCUGCCUCCCACAUUAUACUCUCUUGAGUUUUUUCAACACACAGUAAUCACUUUUCUCCUCCAAACUAUUUAGCCCUUCCAUGUUCCCAUUGCUGUUUGCCUUUUGUGACCCGAUGCGUUUCAUUAGUCUGUGUAUGGGAACAUGAGUGAGAGUUUCUUUAUAGACACACCUCAUAACUUGCUACAGUCUUAAAGACAAGGUCUCUCUCCCUUCAUCAUCUAUUAACUGUAAAUAUCCUCAGGAAUUAAUGGGGCCCAUAUGCUCCUUUCAAUUCCAUGGCAAGAUGUUGACAGACCCAAUAUUGUGCAGACUUUCUAUCCAAGUUGUUAGAUGGCUGCUUCAAAAUAUCGUUGGUUCUAUAAUAGUUCCACAGAAUCCAAGCAUAUGAUUUUGUAUUAUUUUUGCUCAUUUUGAAUCAUGGUUGUUGUAUAUUUGUUUAGGUGUCUCAAGCAAGGAGUUGGGGGAGAUAAUAGUAUAUCCUAAAAUCCUACUCACUUUCUUAUGAGAUGCUCCAAGUAUGCCAUAAGUAAAACAAACUUCUUAAGAUUGUAUUGCUAUGUCUUCUAACCCCAACAGUUAUUAGUUAGCUGGAGUUCUUCCUCUAAACUUGAGACCCCACAUAAUUUCCAUUCCAUGUUAACACAUCCAUUGACAUUGACAUUUUUCUAGUCUUGUCUAGGUAGCCAUUUUUAGGAAAGACUCUUUCUCAGCAUACUACCUCUUUAUCUGCCUCUUAACAGGCAUUGCUCUCCCUCUUUUAUGAUGAUCCCUGAGCCAUAGACUUAGUAGCUGUCCUGUAGACUGGACUGAUCCCUGCAAUGUGUCCAGUUGUGAUUUUCUUUGAUAAAAUGAGAGGCUUCUUUGAUGAUGGGUGGUACCUACACUUACCUGUGUGUGUGAGGGUAAGAUUUAGAAUGCAGGAAAGAAUUAUGUUCAUCUAGCAAAAUGACAAUAAUAGUUUUUUUUAUGAUGGUGAUACAACCGUGUGUGCAAUAUCUCAUUAGUUUCCCUUUAAUCUUCUAAAAAAUUGUGGUAAUAUCUCCAUUUUAAAGAUGAAAAAGUAGAGCUAUAAAACAGCUUGAAAUCAUAAGAAUCAAGAGUCAAUAUUGUGUUUAUCACCAAAGACCAUACAUUUUCUUAAUUAGAAUCUAUGCCCUAAUGUUUUAGCUCUACUCUAUUUAAAAUAGUGUUUGAUGAUUUGUUUCAUGGCAAAAUAAAAUGAUCUCCAUGGGUCAGAUUCUUUCUUGUUCCUUGCUGGAGCUUGCUGCUAGAAUUCAAUAAAUAAUUUGUAAGAUUUUAUUUAGCCCCUUUAUUGGUAUAGACUAUUGUACAAAUCUGUGGGGAUUUUUUGUUUUGUUAGAAAUCUUCUGGUUUUGAUGAAGUAGAUACAGACUCUGUGUUAAGCUCCCAGAUAUCUGAUUUGGCUGUCCGAGCAAUUGGCAAGCUGUGCAUAAUGAUAAAUAUACUAGCAAGGCUUACUUUCCCACUAAGUACAUGCAAGUAAAAGCCCUGGAAGUUGCAUGGCUCUUGCCUCUUUAAAUCUGACACCUAAUGUAUUAGGUAUUAGAGUGUUUUGUGCUUACCUUUAGCUCUUCUUUAGUUUAGGUGAUUAAAAAAUGCCUGUUGCUGUCUGUAUUGCAACAUGCUUCAUUAACAAUGAUUUAUUUGAGAGUUUAGCAGAAUUGGCACUGUGCAGCACACCAGUGGGCAGGAAGAAAACAAACGUGAGAUGGUUGCUAAGAAAUGUAAUUUCCUCUGUUUCUGCUAAAAGCCCAAGGAUCUCCAGAGCCUGCUUUCCUAUACCCACAAAGCCAGGAAAAGUAUGUAGCUUCUGGCCCUUGCCAUUGGUCCGCAGUCACUGACUCUCUCUUGUAAUGCUCAGUCGGGAGGGAGUGCAAAGAUUUCCCUGCCCAUAUUCGUGCAACAAGUUUUUUUUUUUCCCCACUCAAAACCAAGCUCAGCUUUUUCUAGAAGAAUCCAAUUAUAAAGACUUUUUUCUAUCGUAUUCUUUUCAACAACUCUGCAUCUUUACUGUCAUUUUACC
rnacentral:lncRNA from 1 species